rnacentral:rRNA from 1 species
CCUACGGGAGGCAGCAGUAGGGAAUAUUGCUCAAUGGGGGAAACCCUGAAGCAGCAACGCCGCGUGGAGGAUGAAGGUUUUCGGAUUGUAAACUCCUUUUGUUAGAGAAGAUAAUGACGGUAUCUAACGAAUAAGCACCGGCUAACUCCGUGCCAGCAGCCGCGGUAAUACGGAGGGUGCAAGCGUUACUCGGAAUCACUGGGCGUAAAGCGCGCGUAGGCGGGAUAGCAAGUCAGAUGUGAAAUCCUAUGGCUUAACCAUAGAACUGCAUUUGAAACUGUUAUUCUAGAGUAUGGGGGAGGUAGGUGGAAUUCGUGGUGUAGGGGUAAAAUCCGUAGAGAUCAAGAGGAAUACUCAUUGCGAAGGCGACCUGCUAGAACAUAACUGACGCUGAUGCGCGAAAGCGUGGGGAGCAAACAGGAUUAGAUACCCGGGUAGUC